rfam:Schistosoma curassoni strain Dakar, Senegal genome assembly, scaffold: SCTD_scaffold0004149
AUCCAUCUGACGGGUCCGGAAUUCGACGAAACGCGUGUCCUGGAU